CCCGUCACCCCAGCAUCCACGACACCCCGAGACUCGGGGCUGCAGCUUGCCAUAGAGAAGUUGAAGGAGCAAGAGGUUCUGAGGCGUCGUCACGACCAGCUCAUAGAACAGAAACAGCUCCUGCACGACCUGAAGCAAGGCCUGCAACGGCGCGGUGGUGCAGAGCAUCCCAGCCGACGCAGCAG